rnacentral:rRNA from 1 species
UACGUAGGGGCUAGCGUUAUCCGGAAUUACUGGGCGUAAAGGGUGCGUAGGCGGUCUUUCAAGCCAGAAGUGAAAGGCUACGGCUCAACCGUAGUAAGCUUUUGGAACUGUAAGACUUGAGUGCAGGAGAGGAGAGUGGAAUUCCUAGUGUAGCGGUGAAAUGCGUAGAUAUUAGGAGGAACACCAGUAGCGAAGGCGGCUCUCUGGGCCAGUACUGACGCUGAGGAGCGAAAGCGUGGGGAGCAAACAGGAUUAGAUACCCGGGUAGUCCCUGA